rnacentral:rRNA from 1 species
GACGAACCGUGCGAACGUUAUUCGGAAUCACUGGGCUUAAAGGGCGCGUAGGCGGGCGGCCAAGUCAGGGGUGAAAGCCCCCAGCUCAACUGGGGAAGUGCCUUUGAUACUGGUUGUCUCGAGGGAGGUAGGGGCGUGCGGAACUUCCGGUGGAGCGGUGAAAUGCGUAGAUAUCGGAAGGAACGCCGGUGGCGAAAGCGGCGCGCUGGACCUCUUCUGACGCUGAGGCGCGAAAGCUAAGGGGAGCAAACGGGG